UCUAAGGGGCAGCGAGGGCUGACCCCAGUCCCUCCCUAGCCUCGGGCUUUCCUUGAGUUUUUGCCUCCGUGUGAGGCUUAACAGUGCAAAAGCAGCAGGUUUGAAAAGCUGCAAUGGAAUGAGAAAAGAUGGCCUUUGGUGAUUAAUAGCGCAGUCCUCUGCAUGCCUAUGCAGACAUCAGUCCCAUUGAAUUCAAUAGGCCUACUCUGGGGAAUGAUGGAAGAAGGCCUUCAAGCUGUACCUCCAUCCCAGCCUGGAAGGGUAUCAAAAUGGGAUGGACUCAGUAGGAGCAUUUGGAAAUCCUAGCUACGUUGUCUUCAUCUGCCUCUGUUUUAUUUAGAUGACUAAAUAUUACCCCAUUAGCGUACUAUAACCGUUGCUCAUUUUCCUCUCAGGCAUUCUAUAUAUCAUAUAUACCGCAUUACUUAAUUACCGUCUUUCGCACUUACACACCGAUCUGUCCAUUGGCUUUUAGAUCACAUUCUUAAUUGCAAUAAGCAAAGUAGCUUUUUGUUAUGGCACAGGGAAAGGGUUGGUCAGCUGCCCACUGUUGGCAUUAGAGCACACAGAGGGCUGGCCAAUGAUUUCUUCUCUCUCUCUCUCUCUCUCUCUCUCUCUCUCUCUUCUCUCUCCUUUAAUGAUCAAUUACCACCAGAAUAGGUUUCUAAUGGCCACACUAUUAGAGAGUAAUAGACUUGGCUAUAAUAGUUCCUGUUCACAAUAUUUCUCAAACUAGACACUGAACAAACCCCACGCCAGCAAAUGUUUGGCAUGUUUGCCUCAUGGCCCGGUAUUUAAAAGGCAAUAUUCUCUCACACACCCGCAGCAGGCCUGGCCCUACCCUUUGGCAGAAUGAAGCAGCUGCCUCAGGCGGCAGGUGCUGGGGGCAGUACCUUCUGAGCUGGGCUUUGACCUCCAGUGCAGUGGAAGAUGUUCUACCAUCACCAGUCAGUCUGUCAGCCUGGUUGGAUUCUGCGCAUCUCAUCCCCUUGCCUCAGACAGCAAAAUGACUUGGACGACAAAGAUUGCUUGGAGUCUAGAGAAGGAAGUGUCCUGAAAAACAUAUGCAAGGAGAGAGGAAAUGGACUUGGACCUUCCUAUGUAUACACACUUAUAUGUGAACCCUGGGACAGAGGUCGCCUUGCCAGAUGGAGGAACUCGCGCUGAAAAGUGAACAAUGCAUAAAAACGUAUCAUCUAAAGCCAUAGGCCGCCACAAUAUAAAUACAGCAAACAAUCGUUUUGGCAUACUCAGCAAGCAAAUAGAUUUACAAAAGCAAACAUUCAAAAAUGAUACUUUCUCCUGCAGUGUAAACUACACAUUGCCCUUCUAGAGGAGGCUAUAUAGGUGCUAAGAAAUAUGCCAAAUGUAGAAUUACAUUCUGGACCCACAUACAAAAUUUUGUUCUGAUGCUCUCAGUGGUGUUUAAAAAUAAGGUCAUGAACAACAUUGUAAACACACAUGAAAUACUGAGGAAACAAGUUGAAUUAAAUAUUUCUCAGGUUUUUAUUGUGCAAUUUCAAUUCAUUUAACUAAUGCUUCCCAGGAAACAGUCUGAAGUGAUUUACUAAAAGAUAAAGAACCAGCUUCUUUUAAAACUGCUGCUUUUUCUUAACGGUUGGUUGGUUGGUUUUUAGGCUGCAUUUUCUUGGUUUUUAGGUUGCCUUUUUAGGCUAUAUCUGUAUCUUGGGGGGGCGGGGGCGUUGUUUUGUUUUUGCUUACUGUGUUGAUUUUGUUUGAUCCGCUUUGUGUAUGUUGCGGAAAAUGCAGGCUAUAAAUUCAUUGAUAAUAAAUAAGUAAAUGCUGAUAGGCCUCAAUUUACUCAACCCUCAGCCUGCUAAUAAUCAUUAGAACAGCCAUCAGGAGA